UCCUCCACUACCCUCACCACCGUGGGUCGAUCUUCCCCAAUAGCAUUGUUUUCAAACCUUCUUCGCCAGUGGACUUUCCUCGCUAGAAAACUCAGAGAGCAGAGAGAGAGGAAUCUCCACUCCAAUUCCACAGCCAGACCAUAAUCGAAGGCACUCUUUACCCUCUGUAAAUGACAAUGCUAUAAAGUGGUUGACUAUGGCUUCCUAUCUCAAACAUCUCGAGGCAUUUUCUUUUCCUUUCUCUUGUUCUUUGCAAGAAGCGUAAGAUAAUAUGGUCCAAUGCAUUGAUCCAAGGAAGAAAAAAACAGCCAAGAAGAGAGUGAACCUAUCUCAGCUUGUGCUUGUUCUGUUUUAUUACCAGCAGUAUGCACCAGGAAAGUUGAUUCUGUGCUGUAUUCAGAGCUGCCAGGAGACUCCUCAUACAGAUCAGGUUUCCUCAGAGCAAUCUGAAGCACUAAACAAAAAAUCUUUUCUGUGGGGUGAAUUACCAUUCUUGAGGAUUUCCUUGGCGUUGUCGACUUGAAGUUGUGCUGGCAAAUCAUUCACAUUGUGGAAGUUCUGAA